rnacentral:rRNA from 1 species
GACGAACGCUGGCGGCGUGCUUAACACAUGCAAGUCGAACGGGAGUAUUGAAGAAGCUUGCUUUAGAGAUACUUUAGUGGCGGACGGGUGAGUAAGGCGUGAGGAGCUGUCCGAUGCAGGGGGACAACAGUUGGAAACGACUGCUAAUACCCCAUAAGCCGAGAGGUAAAAGGAUUUAUCCGGCAAUGGAGGUACUCGCGUCCUAUCAGCUAGUAGGUGAGGUAACGGCUGACCUAGGCGAAGACGGGUAGCCGGCCUGAGAGGGCGAACGGCCACACUGGAACUGAGAUACGGUCCAGACUCCUACGGGAGGCAGCAGUGGGGAAUAUUGGGCAAUGGGGGGAACCCUGACCCAGCGACGCCGCGUGGGUGAAGAAAUCCUUCGGGAUGUAAAGCCCUGUUGUAUGGGAAGAGCGGAAGACGGUACCAUACGAGGAAGCCCCGGCAAACUACGUGCCAGCCGCCGCGGUAA